rnacentral:rRNA from 1 species
UACAGAGGGUGCAAGCGUUGUUCGGAAUUAUUGGGCGUAAGGGCGCGUAGGCGGUGCGGUAAGUCCGCAGUGAAAUCUCUGGGCUCAACUCAGAGUCUGCUGUGGAAACUGCCGUGCUAGAGUGUGGGAGAGGUGAGUGGAAUUCCAGGUGUAGCGGUGAAAUGCGCAGAUAUCAGGAGGAACACCGGUGGCGAAGGCGGGUCUCUGGGCAGUUACUGACGCUGGAGGAGCGGAAAGCGUGGGGAGCGAACAGG